rnacentral:lncRNA from 1 species
UCAUAACUCACUUGGUUCACUUGGAUAUUAAAUGAUGCUUGUUGUUGUUGAUUGUAGAAGAACUCAAUCCAAGUUGCAAUAUUUUCAUAAAUGCAUGUCAUUUUAUCAAUUGUAGAACUUAAUCCAGUUGUUCCUCUAAUGUGUGUAAUGAUUGACCGUAACCAAACACAUUAUGAACAACUUCAUGUAGAGCAACAAUCUCUACAUGAUUCAAGGAUGUCGCCACGAGAUUGAGUCUGUGUAGUAAAUCUUCAAGAUAUUUUCAUAUUCUCAAUGGUAAACACAUAACCAAUUUGAGAAUGCCCUUUAUAAGAAUCUUAGAUAAGUAUCAUGUGUCAGCAAAACCAACUAAUUAAGUAUUGUUAUGGGUAUCCAUAGGAUAACGUAAGGCCUAGAUUUAUUCUAAGCCAGAUCAAGAACCUAGUACAGUAGUAGGAUUGUUUUCUCUUAAUCUCAGUUGCUUGAAGAAGAAGACAUGCAAUCACGUAAAAUCAUCCCCUCAUGGUACAUCCGAGUACUAGCACGCCUGCAUCAAGAAGAAUUCUUUCACACCCCAAACCCGAUGUCGGUGGUUUCCAAGCACCUACACCGAAUCUGAGGCGUGAGAGGAAAAAGUAAAGGAAAAUAGAAUAAAAUGGAAUACAGUUUACAAAAUCGUGGAAAAGAAAAAGUUUACAAAUUACAAAACCAAAUACAACGACAAACAGGUCUUGAAGUCUAACUUCGUAAUCUUUUCCAACUCUUGUACAUGUCAGUUGGUCUUCUCGAAAGACGUGCACCUGAACAAGAAUCUCUAGGGGUGAGCUUACGCUCAGUAGAACCAAACCUUUUAAGUUAUAAUUAUCUAUGUCACGCAAUCAUGUUAUCACAUAACAAAUAAUACUUCACAUAAAUAAACAACAAUUCAAUGAUCAUGCAUGACAUGAUCUCCCUCCACUCAAUUACUGGCUUGCCAGGCCAUACAUCUCUUACAUAUAUGAUCUGACAACCGUACCUCUUUUGUUAGUCAUCUUGUUAUACUCAUGGUCUCCAAACCCGAAACCCGAUUAGAUAAUUUCAUCGACUCCGCGCCGAUGGGGCAUGCAUUCCCCUCUCUUGUGCAAUUGUGGGCUGACAUGGAUUCAUGGAAGCCCCAUGAGGAAACUUAACUACACAAAAUAUAUUAUUUUCUUUUGAUCUCUUUCUCAUCUCCCCAUAAUCACCAAUCUCACUAUCCUCAAUUCCUCACGAUGCAUAAAGUAUGCAAAGAACAUCAAUUCUCAUAAUGUCAUAUCAAACAACAUGCUUUUAUGAAAAACGAUAACACCGAUUAGACAAUUCAUGAUUACACAUGCUUAUAUAUCGAAAUCGAUAACAACCAAGAGUUAAAUCACUCAAUACCAGACAAAUCACAUAAUUCAAUUAUAAACUAAUUAUCAAUUUAAAGUAACGUUUCCUGAGAGACUCUACUUGGAAUCCGAGCCACCUAGAAUAAGCCAUCUAGAAAACACUGUUGGAUCAAUCCCAAACUUCUAGGAUAGAAAGAGGACAUCGAUACGAAUCUGUAACACUUUGCGGAUCUGAAAUCAGAGUUACGGAUCAAAAGUUAUGAUCCGCGGAAGUUUUUUGUCGUAAAUUCUAGAGAGAGAAGAAAAAUUAUGAGAGAGAGAGAGAGAGAGAGAGAGAGAGAGAGAGAGAAGAA